UUUGUGUUUGCCUGUUGCUGGAUGAGAACAGAGGUUCGAGCCGAGCGGCGUAAGCCGUGAGACAGCGCCACCGUCGGUGGCGUCCCGUAGGGCGAGCGCAAGGCGCGAGUAAUCCAGCACGACCCACCA
rnacentral:sRNA from 1 species